GACGAACGCUGGCGGCGUGCUUAACACAUGCAAGUCGUACGGUAAGGCCCUUUCGGGGGUACACGAGUGGCGAACGGGUGAGUAACACGUGAGUAACCUGCCCACAACUUUGGGAUAACGCUAGGAAACUGGUGCUAAUACUGGAUAUGUGCUCCUGCUGCAUGGUGGGGGUUGGAAAGCUCCGGCGGUUGUGGAUGGACUCGCGGCCUAUCAGCUUGUUGGUGGGGUAGUGGCCUACCAAGGCGGCGACGGGUAGCCGGCCUGAGAGGGUGACCGGCCACAUGGGGGCUGGAGUACGGCCCAGCCCCCUACGGGGGGGGACAGGGGGGAAAAUUGCAAAAUGGGCGCAACCCGGGUGCGGCCACGCCGCGUGGGGGAUGACGGCCUUCGGUUUGUAAACCGUUUUCGGCAGGGACGAAGCUUUUUGGGACGGUACCUGCAAAGAAAGCACCGGCUAACUACGU
rnacentral:rRNA from 1 species